rnacentral:rRNA from 1 species
AACGGAGGGGGCAAGCGUUAAUCGGAAUUACUGGGCGUAAAGCGGGCGCAGGCGGUUUUGUCAGACAGGCGUGAAAUCCCCGGGCUCAACCUGGGAAUGGCGCUUGUGACUGCAAAGCUGGAGUGCGGCAGAGGGGGAUGGAAUUCCGCGUGUAGCAGUGAAAUGCGUAGAUAUGCGGAGGAACACCGAUGGCGAAGGCAAUCCCCUGGGCCUGCACUGACGCUCAUGCACGAAAGCGUGGGGAGCAAACAGG